AUAAACCAAGAAAAAUAGAGACCCAUGGUAACAUCGCACCAGACCCAUCAUCAUCAGUUUCGAACAUCCUGAUUUACCCCUUCUCUGUAAACGGGUUAGGUUUUGCACUUUUUUCUUCAAUAGCUCAGGUGUUAUUUUUUCGUGUUGAUCCAUCUCCCUCAUCUGUAACUGAAGAACACAGGUUUUUAAGCGUGGCAGCAAGUUAUCUUCCUCAAUAAUUAAUCAGCCUUUGGGUUCUUCUUGGCACGAAAGCGAUUAACAUGGAUGAUCGAUCAUGGAUGUAUCGUCGUCUUAUGGAUGGUCGCCUUCGUCCUGAAUACAUUACCGGUGUUAGAAGAUUUAUCAAUUUUGCAUUUUCAAUUGAUAAAAAUAUAUCUGGGGGAAAAAUUAGAUGUCCUUGUGUGAGGUGCAAAAAUCAAAAGUUUUUAAAGGAAGAUGAUGUUUGUAAACAUCUAUUGACAAAAGGUUUUAUACCUUGUUAUGAAAAUUGGACAGUACAUGGGGAGCCUUAUGUUGCAGAACCAAUAUUGGCUGGACCUUCAUCAAUUGGAAUGAGUCAUGUUGUGAAUGAUGUUUGUCUAGAGAAUCCAUAUAGAAAUCUAGUUAUAGAUGC